rnacentral:lncRNA from 1 species
CUGGGGAACUGAGGGGCCCCUGAACCUGCCACCCUAACAGAUAUUGCUAAAUAAAACAAUAAAAUGAAAGAAUGCACUCUGGGUCCCACCUUAGGAGACAUGACUGAUUUAACUUGGAGGAGAGGGAAAGGGGAUAAGAAAUGUUUUUCUUUUUGUUUUUGUGGUUUUUUGCUUUUUUGCAGUUGGCAGAGGUGAAGGGAUGAAACAACCCAUUUCUUGCAAGUGAUCUGAUGGAUGUAUCACGUGUCAACAAAGAACAAAGAAAUACUUCCCCUCCUGUUCUUGAAUGCAAUGCCCCUUUUCAAGCAUUUCGGCUCUGCUAGUAUUUCAAAUUUAAAUCCAAGGUCAUUUCUCUGGGCAGGAGGUCACUCUUAUGUUUCUAGAACAGAAAAGAAAAAAGUACAAAAGCCCCGAAAAGCCCUGCACACAAAGACUCUGUAUUCUUCCCUUGGUAUUGAAAACACCUUGUUAACCCCAUGCUCCUCCCUCUGACCUAUAGGGAUUGCAUUUUCAUGGAAAUCUUGGUGAGUGGGAAAGAGUUGCUAGUUUAAGGCAGAAGACUUUCUAACAUAAGUCUGUUCUUUUUGGAAAAAUAAUGCAAGGUUGCUGUGGAAAAUCAGGACACCUGUAAAGAAGGGAGAUCAAAUAACCCAGAGAACUAUAACAUUGUAUUUUCUUUUGGUGUCUUUUUAAAAGCUUUGGGGUGAGCAUGUGUAUGGAUGUGCUUACCAACUUUUAACCAGUGGAAUGAUGCAAGAUUGUUUGGUGGCCUUUAUUUUUUCAACUGAAAACAAAUAAACAAACAAAACUAUUCACUCUUCUUCUGGAUGUGGGUUUCCCUAGAACUUUUCAGCAGUCCUCCUGUCCCCAUGUUUAGGAUGGCAUGACUGAGAGGGAGAAAGGAAAUGGCCCCACCUUGGGCACUAACUGCUAUGUUGGGUGGCAAUAUGGAGAGAUGACUGGACAGCAGUUCAAGGGGUCUUAGAACACUGAUCUUUUAGCCCAGAGUUGAGAUGUUAUCUCCUCUAGCUUCCCGCUUCCUCACCUUACAAACGCAUCUCCAGUUCAUCUUCAUCUGAACAGUUUAUUACCUCCUCUAUCUCUUCUAUCAAACCUUUGGACUCCAGGGUUCUUACAGGAAAUAUGCCUCUUGUAGCCAUUAGGCCAAACUUUGGCUCAGAAAUCACCUCAUGAUGCCCCUCCUCUUAGUGUUAAGGAGGAAAAGGAUGGUUUAAGAGCAAGAACCCAUAUUUGGCAGGAGUUUGGGGUAGAAAAUCAAUGCUACUCAUUGACAAAGAGCAGGAAGGAGACUCAAGACAAUGUUCAGGACUUCUCUUGGGAUCAUUUGUCUCCUACUGGGAUUAAGUAGGCUUUCUGAAGGUUAAAAAGUACCACACUUCUCCAGAAUGACGCUGACCCAGGAAUUUAAAUUUAAAUUCCUAAGGAACUGCUCAGUGUGGGUGGUGCCCUCUUUCCUGCUAAUUGCCUUAUUUAUGAUUGAUAUUUGUUAUGAGAAACUCUUGACACACCCUCUCCAAAUGUUUGAGCUUUAUCAUUCUGGAAAAAUGUGUCUAAAAUGUGUGAUGUGUAUUAAUUAUGUAUCUACCACUUCCUUAUGUAUUAUCUUGGCAAGGUUUGGGGUAGAAAAGCCAGUUCUAUUGGGUUAGCUUGAUGUAGAAGGCCAAGCCAUCCAUCCAAUGCAGAUUAUCCUGGACAUGAAGUUAGAAACAUGGUUGUCUUUAGGGAGUACCAAUCUGGAAAAGGGCCCAGAUGGCUCCCCUCAUGGUACCAGCCAAUAAUGGAGGUGGAGAGAGAGGAGGACUUAUUGAAUGAGAGUGUGGUUUAUUGAGUUGGUAGUAAAUAAGAUCCAAAGCCUUCAUAUACCAGACUCAUUUCUAGAAGAAAACUUGCCCUUCAUCCUAUUGGAGGUUAUGAGGUGACUUGAUACCAAAACCAUGAGAAUUUCAAGUUGAAUAAAAUAUAGUUUAUUCAUUCAAAAAACAUUUGCCAAGUGCCUUCUGUGUACUAGCAUGUAGCUAUAGAGAUGAACAGUGAAUUACUUCUUUCCUCAAAGAACUUCCAAUCUAGUGCUAAAGUAAUAAAAACUCCAUGAAGCAGGUUGAAAUUAGCACAAUGUUAGAAAUACACAUGAAGUGCUCUUAUAUGGGAAAUAAAAUUAUACAGCUCUGAUGUCUGGCACAUAAAAGACUCCAUAAUAAUUGAAUAAAUGAAUGCAUCAGGGAAGUAUUUUUAAGGGAAAUAUUACAUUUGAACUGAUCACUGAGGACGGGUAGAAUUUUGUUGGGAGCUCACUAUAUAAUUUGUGCAAAGACCCAGAUGUGAAAGUGUUUGAAUGGUUCAAAAAGUGCUAAUAAAUCAUUGGGCUUGGUCUGGGAACACAGCGAAAGGUAGUUGGAGAAGCACAUACCAGGAAGGAUCUUGAAUACUAUGUAAAGAGUUUCAAUGUUAUUCUCCAGAUAAUGGGCAACUAAGAGUCUCUGAAGAGGAAUGCUACACGAUUUGACUGUUUUUAGGAAUAUCAUUCUGAGGGUAUCUCAGGAAAAACUUCAAAGUUGAGACUGGCAAUAUUCAACUCUGAUGGUUUGUAUUCACAUCUGUUAUUGAUUAUUGAGUCUCAAGUGAAACUUGAAAGCAGUCAGGUUUGGUUGUCAUCUUCAUUUCACCUAGAAUAGACUAUACCUGGAGAGGUUUGCCCAGGGUGGCAUGCUGCAUGACACAGAACCAAUACAAGAAGCCCGGUUUCUUCAUUCAUCCAGCCUAAUGCUGUCAGAGCUUUCCUUAAAAAAAAAAAAAAAAAAAAAAAAAAAAA